GUCUACAGCCAUGCCACCCUGAACAAGCCUGAUCCCAUCUGAUCUUGGAAGCUAAGCAGGGUCGGGCCUGGUUAGUACUUGGAUGGGAGACCACCUAGGAAGACCAGGUGCUGUAGGCG
rnacentral:rRNA from 1 species